UGAGGAAUAUUGCCCAAUGGAGGAAACUCUGAGGCAGCAACGCCGCGUGAACGAUGACGGCCUUCGGGUUGUAAAGUUCUUUUCUCAGGGAAGAUAAUGACGGUACCUGAGGAAUAAGUCCCGGCUAACUACGUGCCAGCAGCCGCGGUAAAACGUAGGGGACAAGCGUUAUCCGGAUUUACUGGGCGUAAAGCGCCCGUAGGCGGCUUUUUAAGUUGGACGUGAAAGCUCCCGGCUUAACUGGGAGAGGCCGUUCAAAACUGAGAAGCUCGAGUGAGGAAGAGGAGAGCAGAAUUCCCGGUGUAGUGGUGGAAUGCGUAGAGAUCGGGAGGAAUACCAGUGGCGAAAGCGGCUCUCUGGUCCUAAACUGACGCUGAGGGGCGAAAGCGUGGGGAGCGAACGGG
rnacentral:rRNA from 1 species